rnacentral:rRNA from 1 species
CUUAGCAAGGCCUUGGGAGUAAAGAAUCAAACGCUAUCGAUUUACAAGAGGGAAUUCCUCGUGGUGAUGAUGGUAGUGGACAAGUGGCGUGCUUAUCUUCAGCGAGCCCCGUUUGUAAUUGUCACUGACCACAAGAGUUUGUGUCACCUCAGCGACCAACAGCUCGAGACGGAGCUCCAAGGCAAAGCCAUGUCGAAGAUGGUGGGCCUUCAGUUCUCCUUCAAAUACCAGCACGGACUUGACAACGGCGCGACUGACGCUCUAUCUCGCGUCGGGCAUUUGCUCUCUCUCGAUGCUUUGUCGGUGUGCCAACCACAGUGGCUGCAAGAGGUUGCUAAUUCGUAUGAAACAGAUGCUGACAGUCAAGAUUUGUUGCAACGGCUCGCCCUCUACAGUCUAGAUGAUCAAGGUUAUGAGCUACGACAAGGAGUGAUUCGCUUUCAUGACAUGCUUGGAUCAGUGCUAACACUGCACUACAAACGAAGCUGA